GCAGAUGCCUGGCACCCACUCUGCUUUGUGUCCAAAGGCAGUUGGGAGCCCUCGUGGUGUCUGACCUGCCCUGGAGUUUGUGUGUUUUUCCUGUUGUGACCCACUGACCCUCUCAUUCACCUUGUUACUGUUUCUUGGGGAGAGGUGUGCCUCCAACAGCGAGAGGUCAGAAAGGCAGUUGGAGGCUCUGUGGUCUCUGACCUUCUCUGAUGCUCACCCGUCUUCUCCACUUCUCCUGCCCCAUCCCUGGGUGCAUUUCCACCAAAGAGGCACAGCUCCAGCAGCAAGAGGUCACAAAGGUAAGUGUGACUUGCACCCUCACCACAUACUGACAGUAGGGGACAGAGGCUACUGUCAUGGACCACUCUGGUCUGUAGCCAAAGUGAUAAGGACCUCCAGCACCAACCUGCCAGAGGUGCCUGAAUACCUGUGAGGAGCCUGAGGUCAGAGCUCAGACACCUGGCCCAGAAAAGGAAGAAGGGUAGGAGGAGGAGCAAGGGGAGAGGAUGCAGGAGGAGGAGGAGAAUGUGCAAGGAAGCUGGAUU
rnacentral:lncRNA from 9 species